GGAGUCGGAGCAUUCCCCGUGACUUACCGGAGACGACUUCCCGGUGACCCCAUGGGCACGACGUUGUCUUCUCCUCCACCGAGAACCUACUCUCCUCUGCCUCGGCACACCUCCGGCGACAUUGAUCUGAAGCGACGACGGUUGUCCUAUUGUCAUCACUUUCUCCCUUGUGGCUACUACGACACUUCCUUGGUGAACAGCGAUUGUCAUCUCCUGCUGUCGCUCUGUGUCAACAUCUCUGUGCUAUCCAUUCGCUGCAGCCCGUUGCAACACUUGCGGUUGCCUGCUUCGCUGAUCUGCUCGGAGGUCUUUCUGCUGUUACCCGACAAUCGUUGCAGUCUCUCUCUCUCUCUUCUUUCACGUUCAUUGUAGUUUCCUUUUGCUGCCUCUGAUCAGUGAUCAGAUCAUCCAGCUAUCAGAUUCCUAUUAAUUGACUCGCUGCUAACGAAGCAAGAUACCAGCGGACAACAGGAUGCAAGCGCCCCCACCUUCUUCCUGCGGAGGCAGAGCCAAUCCUUCUCCUCUAUCCUCCAUCCCCUCUCCUCCCCAUCACUACUCUGCAAGUACAACUGGUGGUGUUUUCCUUCUUUGCACCGAAGUUUCUCGCAGCAUUGUGUCACUCUACAAAGGGAGAGAUUGGUGCGGUAGAGGGAGUAGGAGGCGUGACAUACCUAGUGCAAAUCCCAUCGCUGGAUCUCCAUCCCGAUGACUUCCAGCCUGAUGACCAUGCGUCACUGCAUCUAAAACUCCAAGACUGUGCCACCAUGGAAGCAGCAUCGUCUUCUGUUCCGACCAAGCGCCACUUGAAGCAGAUAGAAUGGCUGGCAUAGUUGUGGACGCCGCAGGAGCAAUACCAGUCACCGAGCUUCACAUCCUAGCUCUCGCUGACGCUGGUGUAGUCCACCCUCCCCACGCUCAGCUUGAGCUCGCUGCAUCGUUGGCACGAGUCCCACGACCUCUGCUACAACCCCAGCUUCACAUCAUUGACAUACUGACACGACUUGUAACCCCAUUCCCCAAGCUUUCGACUACUGCAUCUUGCCACUUUGUGCUUCUUUCCUCAUUGGCACUGCUCUCCAUCCUCACAUAUCUGCAACCAUCACUACGGCAUAAACAGAUCUGAGUUCCACGCUGUACACCUCCCUAUCAGCCGUCGAAC
rnacentral:lncRNA from 1 species